GUGGGGAAUAUUGGACAAUGGGCGAAAGCCUGAUCCAGCCAUGCCGCGUGUGUGAAGAAGGUCUUCGGAUUGUAAAGCACUUUAAGUUGGGAGGAAGGGCAGUAAGUUAAUACCUUGCUGUUUUGACGUUACCGACAGAAUAAGCACCGGCUAACUUCGUGCCAGCAGCCGCGGUAAUACGAAGGGUGCAAGCGUUAAUCGGAAUUACUGGGCGUAAAGCGCGCGUAGGUGGUUUUGUAAGUUGGAGGUGAAAUCCCCGGGCUCAACCUGGGAACUGCCUCCAAAACUGCAUGACUAUAGUACGGUAGAGGGUAGUGGAAUUUCCUGUGUAGCGGUGAAAUGCGUAGAUAUAGGAAGGAACACCAGUGGCGAAGGCGACUACCUGGACUGAUACUGACACUGAGGUGCGAAAGCGUGGGGAGCAAACAGGAUUAGAAACCCGAGUAGUCC
rnacentral:rRNA from 1 species